AAAACAAUUACAAUAAAUUACCAGCAGAUAAUAGCUUUUAAAGAGUACUAUGAAAUGGCAAGCUUGUUAACAUCUCAUAUGUAUUUCCUUUCUAUAGGUGAUUUUCUUCCACCCCCACCUCCACCCUUAGAUGACCCUGGUACCCUUCCACCUGGCUCUGGACACUUCCCUCCUCCUCCACCUCUGGAUGAAGGCGCUUUCAAAGUACAGCAGGGAAAUCCUGGAGGCAAGACCCUGGAGGAAAGGCGGUCCAGUCUGGAUGCCGAAAUUGAUUCCUUGACCAGUAUCCUGGCUGAUCUGGAGUGCAGCUCUCCCUACAAGCCUCGGCCCCCACAGAGCGCUGUUGGCAGCACAGAGGGGCAGCCACAGAGUCUGUAAUGAGAACCAAUGGUACCUGUGUUCUUGGACAAUUUGCAACAAACUCCCCAAACUUCAUUUUCUUCAUCGUUAAAGUAGAGACAAAAAGAGGAUCUUCAUCACCUCUGUGUAAAGCAUCUUGACAAGACUUGGUGUAAUAUGUGUCUGUUAUUAUUCAAGUUUAUCACCUUUGAAUGCUCUCCAAAUAUACUCUCACCUUGUCUCUGUGACUCUGAUCACAGUAUGUGCGGCAAACAAGACUCCUCCUCUCACUUCCAGAGUAGCUGUGUGUGCAGGAAGACACGAGAGCAUCCAAACAGAGCUCAGCCCAUCUCUACCUUCUGGAUUGAGGAUGCGCCAUCUGAAAGUUUAAUAUAAUAAUUCAUUUCUCUACACCACUUAGUAUUCUGACUUAUGUGUUGCAGGUAUUUAGAAAUAUUCCAUAUCAAUUUUGUAGUCAUAUAGACUCUCAAGGCCGGGGAUAUCUGUGCUGAAUUUCUCCCAGUGCCAAAGAUCCCAGUGCCUUGAGAUAAGCUGCUAUACUUGAAGAAGUGAGAAAGUGACCAUUUUAUAUAUACAUAUUUAUACUUUUAUUUGUAUCUCAGAGGUUGAAGGUAAAUCCCUAUUGUUGAUGACAUCACACACUUUACACAGAACUUGGAAGACUCUGGCUGUCUCUAACCUGAAGGCCUCCUUCCUAAAGUCUAGCUUUUACAUAACAGAAUGUGCUGUGCAAGUUGCAGUGGAAGUAAUCAGUGCUAUCCAGUGGUGAUGUCUGGGAACCCAACCGUGGCCACCAUGACAAAAUAUCCCUAAAGGUACAGUAGUGGGUCUUAUAUCUCAGAGGGAACCAACAGUUGUCUAAUUGGACUCAGGGCUCACUCAGCAGGAGAGAAAUGGUGCCUGAUAUCCGAUCAGUAAGGUCUUCGAUCUUAGGGCAGAACCUACUACUGCUACUUUACUAGACCAUCAUAAUCCCUUAGCUUCAUUAGAAAGCUUAACCAUAUACGUGCAGUUGAGUCUAGCUCUCACCCUGCAUCAGAUAAGCUUUUCUUUGCAGCAGCUAGAGACCCUUAUAGAAAGCACAGCUGGUCCAAAUACAGAGCCCAACUGAUGAUGUUGUGCCCAGUCCUCUGCAACCACACAGCUCUUACACCCAGGGUUUUUGAUAUGGUCUCUUAUUUUUACAUCAAGACUUGACUGCUGGGUGACUGGAGAGAUGACAUAGUGGGUAGAGUGCUUCCUAAACAAGCAUGGAGAC
ensembl:lincRNA